GACGAACGCUGGCGGCGUGCUUAACACAUGCAAGUCGAGCGGUAAGGCCCUUUCGGGGGUACGACGAGCGGCGAACGGGUAGGAGUAACACGUGGGUGGACCUGCCCUCCAGCUCUGGGAGUAAAGCCCGGGAAACCGUAGGGUCGUAAUAACCGGAUAUGACUCCAUGACGCAUGUUGUGGGGUGGAAAGCCUUGUGCGGCUGAGGAUGGGCCC
rnacentral:rRNA from 1 species